rnacentral:rRNA from 1 species
CCUACGGGUGGCAGCAGUGAGGAAUAUUGGUCAAUGGACGAGAGUCUGAACCAGCCAAGUAGCGUGAAGGAUGACUGCCCUAUGGGUUGUAAACUUCUUUUAUAUGGGAAUAAAAUGUUCCACGUGUGGGAUUUUGUAUGUACCAUAUGAAUAAGCAUCGGCUAACUCCGUGCCAGCAGCCGCGGUAAUACGGAGGAUCCGAGCGUUAUCCGGAUUUAUUGGGUUUAAAGGGAGCGUAGGUGGAUUGUUAAGUCAGUGGUGAAAGUUUGCGGCUCAACCGUAAAAUUGCAGUUGAAACUGGCAGUCUUGAGUACAGUAGAGGUGGGCGGAAUGCGUGGUGUAGCGGUGAAAUGCUUAGAUAUCACGCAGAACUCCGAUUGCGAAGGCAGUUCACUGGACUGCAACUGACACUGAGGCACGAAAGUGUGGGUAUCAAACAGGAUUAGAUACCCUUGUAGUC